rnacentral:lncRNA from 1 species
CGGAAGCGGUUCCCUGCAGUCUUCAGUGCUCCACUUCCAGCCGGAAGAGGUGCGUCCGGGCAGAGCACCAGCGCGCGCUUCCCUUCUGCUGCAGCUAACAUUGGCGGGAACCUGAAAGGUUGGCUGGAGCUGUGCAGGCUGUCAGUCGCGAUGGCGUCGCGUCGCGGGGCGCUCAUCGUGCUGGAGGGUGUGGACCGUGCUGGCAAGACCACGCAGUGCCUCAGGCUGGUGACCGCGCUGUGCGCCUCGGGCCACAGAGCGGAGCUGCUGCGUUUCCCUGAAAGAUCAACAGAAAUCGGCAAGCUUCUGAGUUCCUACUUAGAAAAGAAAACCGAGCUCGAGGAUCAUUCCGUGCACCUGCUCUUCUCUGCCAACCGCUGGGAACAAGUGUAAAGAUUGGUUCAUUGCCCCCCCCCCC